GACGAACGCUGGCGGCGUGCUUAACACAUGCAAGUCGAACGGAAAGGCCCUGCUUUUGUGGUGUUCUCGAUUGGCGAACGGGUGAGUAACACGUGAGUAACCUGCCCUUGACUUUGGGAUAACUUCAGGAAACUGGGGCUAAUACCGGAUAGCAGCUCCUGCUGCAUGGUGGGGGUUGGAAAUUUUCGGCGGUUGGGGAUGGACUGGCGGCUUAUCAGCUUGUUGGUUGGGUAGUGGCUUACCAAGGCUUUGACGGGUAGCCGGCCUGAGAGGGUGACCGGGCUCAUUGGGACUGAGAUACGGCCCAGACUCGUACGGGAGGCAGCAGUGGGGAAUAUUGCACAAUGGGCGGAAGCCUGAUGCAGAAACGCCGCGUGCGGGAUGACGGCCUUCGGGUUGUAAACAGCUUUCGCCUGUGACGAAGCGUGAGUGACGGUAAUGGGUAAAGAAGCACCGGCUAACUACGUG
rnacentral:rRNA from 1 species